AGUUCAUUGAAUGAAUUUUUUCAAUCAUGAGAACUUCUCUAGAGAUAGUUUUUUGCUAUUGUUAUUUUUCCUUUUCUCCUUUUUCUUCACGUGCAUCCUUUGAUCUUGGUCAUUUAUUAGGGUUCUUGUGAUUUACCGAGUCUACAGAUUUACCAUAAUAUUGUUAAGUUUCUGGAGGUCAUUUUAUAUUGAUUCUCCAUGUUUAAAUAAUAGCUAUAUUGGUAAUGGUUCUCUUAAAUAACUUUUGAUUAUAAAAGCCGACGAUUGGAGAACCAUUUUUAUGAAAGUUCUUCCCGAGUUGGUAGUCUCAGUGAUUUGAUUCCCUUGGAUGAGAUGAUGAUUAGUCUAUAGUAACUUAGUUCUUCGAUCAAGGUUUGAGAAUUCUGCACUAUACUGUACAUAUCCAUAUUUACGAUAAAUGUUGAGGCAUUCAUCCACAUAAUUCAGUUCACUUUGAUUAAGACAGAGAAGAGCUGCCUCAGAUAUUUAUACACAAAACAGAUGAUAUCCACACGAGAUCAGGUUCCACUAGCAGUUCAAUGGGAAACUAUUGAAACCAAGGUCAGUCUUGCGUGCUAGUUACUUCUUUUACCAUUAAGAUAAGAGUGGGUUUCAAAUAUGUAGACAUGUUUGGAAAUCACUUUUACUUACCUUUAUAAGUUUAGCCUAACAUGCUGUAACUCGCCUCACAAUUUUCAGCAGAAUGGCUUUAUUUCCUCUUCAAAGACGAGGAUAUACUGCAAUUAUUCGUUCAAAAUGACAGAAAACUCGAGAGCUCCCUUGAAGAGGUGGAAUUUUAAGAGUUUCCCCUGAUCAUGUAGAAUGUCCACUUCUAUUUUGUAACAUCUUAUUCUUAUAACUGGUGGAAUCAUAAUGGUUUGUAUUAUUUACGUUUAAUUAGCAGACCUAUUGAAGAUGCUACAAUAUGCAGUUUCCUAUUAGAGCUGCAGCAGAUGCUACUUGCAAAACGUGAACCUAUGGAACAGUUGAUGGGAUAACAGAUGACCCUGGCUUACAAACUAGAGUCGACCCGUUAAAAAAGCACACAACUUUCACAGUUUUGAUGAUAAAAUAGAGAAAUUCUUAAUUUUAUUUUGUUUUCUUGUCUCCCCUUCCCAGCGCAAUCAAUAGUGCUAUUCAUAUUCAAUGACUGUAGUAGUCUAUUUAUGUGACAACUUGUUAUUUGAGACUUAAUUUUUCAUAAUUCUAUUGUCUCAAAUAACAAGCUGUUAUAUAGGGUGAUUACUGUAGUUCUUGAGUUACUUACAAGUAACGAAAAUAUUUUAAUUUAUCGUGUUUUAUUGUCUUGCAC
rnacentral:lncRNA from 1 species